rnacentral:rRNA from 1 species
GGCGAGUGANNNGGCAACAGCUCAAAUUUGAAAUCUGGCCCCUUCGGGGUCCGAAUUGUAAUUUGUAGAGGGUGCUUCGGGCGAGGCCGCGGUCUAAGUCCAUUGGAACAUGGUGUCAUAGAGGGUGAGAAUCCCGUAUGCGACCGUGGCUCGAGCCCAUGUGAAGCCUCUGCGACGAGUCGAGUUGUUUGGGAAUGCAGCUCAAAAUGGGUGGUAAAUUUCAUCUAAAGCUAAAUACUGGCUGGAGACCGAUAGCGCACAAGUAGAGUGAUCGAAAGAUGAAAAGCACUUUGGAAAGAGAGUCAAACAGUACGUGAAAUUGUUGAAAGGGAAGCGCUUGCAACCAGACCUGCCCGUAGGCGAUCAGCCGCUGUUCUCAGUUGUGCACUCGCUCUGCGAUCAGCCCAGCAUCGGUUUCGGCGGCCGGAUAAAGGCCUUGGGAAUGUAGCUCCCCUCCGGGGGAGUCUUAUAGCCCUUAGUGCAU